AGUUAACAGUAAAAAAGGAGAUUUUUAACAGAAACCUUUGCUCUUCAGUUUGCUAUUCUCAUUUCAAGGAAUUUUCUGUGCAAUGAAGAAUUGAGAAGCCUGCCUACGAGCCUUAUAAAUGGGAGACACAUAAAAUAGCAAUAACCCUGUGACGUAGGCUGGGCUGAGAAAGAGUGAGUUGCCUAAGCCAGCUUUCAUGUAUAAGUACUGGAUACUAUUGGAAAUAUUUGGCUCAGAAUUAAGACUUCCCUGGAUCUAGAAGAAUUGCGUGUCUACAGGCUCUGGAUACAACUGAAUAAAACAAGUUCCAAUUUAGAA